rnacentral:lncRNA from 1 species
AGGCAAGCGGAAGUGACGGUUAUUCCUCCUGCGCGGGAGCUUUGGGGACGCACUUCUGGAUGCCUAGGCCUCUUCCGUUUGCCUCUGGGACUGGCGAUACUCGAGAUGUCUUGAGGCCUUCCAGACCUUGCUCCACCUCCACCACCAGGUCUCCAGUCCUGAGCCACAUGCUGCCAUUUUUGUCUCAGAAGCACCCCUCUUCCAGGUGGAAGAUUGAAGGUCUGAAGAGUGGGAAGUCCCAGGAACAGGCAAUUCCAGGAAGAUAUGAGGAAAAUCAAGAAAGAGAAGGAAACUGAAGCUAGUGGGAAGUGCUUCAAGUUGGAGAUGAUGCUGAGAUGGCCAAAAAUUUUCAAACCUGAGUGAAUGAAUGAAUAAACGGACCUGGGAAUUGAUCAACAAUGGCUGCUGCAUCGCGUAAAGAGAGACGACCAGGUGUCAGCUGGCUGUCAACUGAUCUAGGAUGGUCUUGGAGGGACAACGAGGGCAACCCCAUGUCUCUUCUUUAGCAGGCCAGCCCAGACAUGCUUUCAUGGCUGAAUAGGAGCCAGCCUGGUCAUGGGAGCAAUUUUCAAGCAAGUCUCUGCUUGAAUGUCACAUUUACUAACAUCCUGUUGGCCAAGGUGCAUCCCAUGGCUGAGCCCAGUGUCCAAGUGAAAGGGCACCAGGAAGUUCCCUGCAGCGCUGUGGGUACUGGAAGAAUGGGCGCCAUCUUCAUGACAGCAGCAUGCUAAGUUACAGAAAGUGAGCGGCGUUCUAGACAAAGCAAGCUCAUCUGUGAAUGGAUCAUGGCGGAAACCUGACCACAGUAUGUUGGGAUUUAUGUGUUUGACAUUUUCUAUAAUAGAAAGGCAGAUCAAAAAUAAGGCUCCAGUGCCUCCACUCAGGAAAGCUCAAGUAGGUUUUCUUGAGAAUUUUUAGUGGAUACCCUGUUUUGCAAUGUUCUUUUCUUUUUCUAAUGAGGCUGAACCAGAUUGUAAUGCCAUGAGGCUUCUACAUGGAGAGCUGGACGUUGGUGAGGAUUGGGUGGAGAAGGCCGGGUGGAGGCUGGGCCUGGGAGAAGAGCAGCAGAUUCCCAAACGUACUGGUAUUGGUGCAUACUCUGAGAAAGACAUCUCAGAGCACUUCUGCCGUCAGUUACGAAGUUUCAAUAUAAGAAUUCUUUCUACACAUGCCUGCCUGUCUUUUCUUGUGACGCUUUGACAGAAGAAUUGUUUUCCUUAUGUGUCACAUACUAUACGGUUAGACACUAACACAUGUUUGUUUGAGCAUAUGACAAUUUCAACCUGACAAGCUUGAGGCUUUCCUUCUCCUCUCUCUCUUUCUUUCCUUCCUUCCUUUCAUGCACUUAUUUUAGAAAUAUGUAUGAAACUUCUCUUAGAGGCAGGCUCUGUGCUAGGUACUCGCGAUAAAAGGGUAAACUGAAAAACAGAUCUAAUUGAGUCUAGAACUUGUUAUUUCAAGCUGAAAUUCAUAAUGCAUGCAAAAACUCUAUGACAGCUUAGGUCCACCAGGACACUCUUUUUAUGAUAUUUAACAACAGAAAUUCAGUGCAAAGUCUUCUAAAACUAAGAAACUACAAAACUACCGCCUGUAAAUCCAAACCUUCAAUAAUUCUUUACCUUCAGAUCUUUAUAUUCCAAGUUAUAAAUCUAAAUUUUUUCUGAAAAUAAUUUUUAUAGCCAAAUCUCUGCAAAUUGUAUAUUUGGGUCAUGUUGACCAAUUUGCAUACAGUGAGGUUGGUUACACUCAAUAACCAACACAGGUGAGGUGUGUUCUGUUCAUUUUUCUGAGAGAACAUGAAAAUGAUCAACUGUAUUGCUUCAUUAUUGCAGUUUCACUGAAUUGGUUUUACAUAUUCUACUUGUCUCGUCCACAGCAUCUUAUUUGUGGCACUUCUCUCUUUUUGGUGUGGUGCCUUGGGCAUGUUGAGCUGUCAGGUAGAGAAGAGACGGUUUAUGCCAGAAGUAACACUCCCAUCUCUAGUUAGCUUUACUCUCUUAACUCACUGCCAGACUUACUCGUGUCCUGAAGGGGUCACUCUGGACUCUGAGAAAACUGAGAGAACAAGGUUUGAAACAGCCACACCCAGUGUGCUCAGGUAAGUGGGAGGAGACUUCAUUUGUCUGGGAAAUGUAGCCAGGCUCCUGCUAACUCCAAGAGGCAUCACAUUGGAAUAAA